rnacentral:rRNA from 1 species
AAACAUGUCUUUUUGAUAAUAAUUUAAAGUCUAAUCUGCCCACUGAUAGAAUAUUAAAGGGCUGCAGUAUAUUGACUGUACAAAGGUAGCAUAAUCAUUAGUCUUUUAAUUGAAGACUUGUAUGAAAGAUUUGAUGAAAUAUAAACUGUCUCUAAUUUAUGUUUAGAAAUUAAUUUUUUAGUUAAAAAGCUAAAAUAAAGUUAAAAGACGAGAAGACCCUAUAGAGUUUUAUAUUUUGAUUAAUUAUUAUUAAAUAUAUAAUUAAAUAUAAUAAUUAAUUAAAAUAUUUUGUUGGGGUGAUAGAAAAAUUUAAUAAACUUUUUUUAAAAUUUGAACAUAAAUAAGUGAAUAAUUGAUCCAUUAAUAAUGAUUAAAAGAAAAAAUUACCUUAGGGAUAACAGCGUAAUAUUUUUUUUUAGUACAAAUAAAAAAAAAAGUUUGCGACCUCGAUGUUGGAUUAAGAUAAAAUUUAAAUGCAAAAGUUUAAAAUUUUGAUCUGUUCGAUCAUUAAAAUCUUACAUGAUCUGA